UGAAGGGCUUUAGUGUAGGUGGCUCCGCUACACUGGAAAGACACCAGUAAAAUGAAACACACUUGGCUGUAUCUAAACUGAAAAUGGGGAAUCUGGUGGACAAACCAAAAAUCUAGGUGGUCAGCCUUACCAGCAGUAGUCCAGAAGAUGCGGGGGCAGCACAGGGAUGAAGAUGUGCUGCCAGUACAUUGGAAAGAGCAGAGCAGCCGCACCAUGGACACAUGCAGUUAACUACAGAGAAAGAGAAAGAAGCGAGGGGACAAUGUGAGCACAACUUUCUGAGGGCCGAGCCGAUAACUGACUGCAGCUGAGAGACUGACUUGGUGGGAAUGGACUCACAGUGCUAAGCUUGCUUGAGGUAAUGAUGAUG